GACGUAGGGCGCGAGCGUUGUCCGGAUUUAUUGGGCGUAAAGAGCUCGUAGGCGGCUUGUCGCGUCGACUGUGAAAACCCGUGGCUCAACCAUGUGGUCUGCAGUCGAUACGGGCAGGCUAGAAUUCGGUAGGGGAGACUGGAAUUCCUGGUGUAGCGGUGAAAUGCGUAGAUAUCGAGAGGAAUACCGGUGGCGAAGGCGGCAUCCUGGACCAUUACUGACGCUGAGGCGACGAAAGCUAGGGGAGCAAACGGG
rnacentral:rRNA from 1 species